rnacentral:rRNA from 1 species
UAAACGGACCAUCGAGUAUCCAUUGGAGGGCAAGUCUGGUGCCAGCAGCUGCGGUAAUACCAGCUCCAAUAGCGUAUAUUAAAGUUGUUGCAGUUAAAAAGCUCGUAGUUGGACUUGUGUGCGCUGUCCGCGGGUGGCCUGCGCCCAAAAGGGCGUUUCGGUUCGGCCCCGGUGGCGCCUUGAAAUCUGCAGCUGGGGGGACGUUGGCCUUAACUGGUCGGCGACCGCACGCCGGCUGCUCGGUUACUGUGAGAAAAUUAGAGUGUUCAAGGCAGGCAUUGGGUGCAAUUGAAUACAUUAGCAUGGAAUAAUAAAAUAUGGCUCCUGCCGUAUUUUGUUGGUUUUGACUGGUGGGAGUAAUGAUUGAUAGGGACGGUUGGGGGUGCUAGUAUUGAGCGGCCAGAGGUGAAAUUCAUGGAUUCGCUCAAGACUAACUUAUGCGAAAGCAUUCACCAAGGACGUCCUCUUUAAUCAAGAACGAAAGUUGGGGGAUCGAAGACGAUCAGAUACCGUCGUAGUCUCAACCAUAAACUAUGUCGACUUGGGAUCGGCGGUAGUUUUUUCAUUAAGACACUGUCGGGACCACGGGAGAAAUCAAAGUGUCUGGACUCUGGGGGAAGUAUGGUCGCAAGGCUGAAACUUGAAGGAAUUGACGGAAGGGCACCACCAGGAGUGGAGCCUGCGGCUUAAUUUGACCCAACACGGGGAAACUUACCAGGUCCAGAGAUGUAGAGGAUUGACAGAUUGAAGCUCUUUCUUGAUCACUUCGGUGGUGGUGCAUGGCCGUUCUUAGUUGGUGGAGUGAUUUGUCUUGUUAAUUCCGUUAACGAACGAGACCUCAGCCUGCUAGUGUAGUCGGCUGGAUUGCCUUUGGCGAUCCGUGAUUUCGACUUCUUAGAGGGACAAUCGACGCGCAGUCGAUGGAAGUUUGAGGCAAUAACAGGUCUGUGAUGCCCUUAGAUGUUCUGGGCCGCACGCGCGCUACACUGCUGGGCUCAGCGAGUUUUACUUGGCCGAGAGGCCCGGUUAAUCUUGUGAAAUCCCAGCGUUCUUGGGCUCGCCUCCUGCAACUGGAGGCGCCAACGAGGAAUUCCUAGUAGACGCAGGUCAUCAACCUGCAUCGAUUACGUCCCUGCCCUUUGUACACACCGCCCGUCGUUCCAUAAGAGUGAGGCAUCCGGUGAAUUCUCGGGAGAGCCUGGGCGUGGCCAGCAAUGGUCUGCUCGGGUUUGAACUUGCAUAAACUCGG